CUAUUAACUAAUGUCUCCAAGUACAUUCACACAUCCACGUUCCUUGAGCAACUCACUUGGCUAUAUAAAUACAAUCAAAACCCCCAAUUUCAAGCCCUAGAUUUCUCAAUCCUCUUGUACUCUUCUUCGUUCUCACUUCCCGUUUCGCAGCCAAAUCAUCAAAAGUCAAAACCUAAAACUGAAUCAAAAUUACAAAAAAAUACGCCAUGACUGAUUAUGAAGCAGAAAGAUACGAAGGUAACGGCGGUGCCGACUUCGAAAACCAGAGCUACGGUGCCGGCGGCGCCGAUUCCUCUCCCCCGCCUCGCGGCGGCGCUGAUGAUCAAAGCGAUUCUAAGUCUGAGCGUGGGUCUCGUGACUAUGAGAGGGAGUCUUCAAAAAGUAGGGAAAAAGAGAGAAGCAGAGACAGGGACAGAGGUAGAGAUAGGGAAAGAGAUCGAGACAAGGAUAGGGAGAAAAGCAAGGACAGGGAUAGAGAUAGGGACCGAGACAAGGAUCGUGACCGUCAUCGUGACCGUGAUCGUGAUCGCCAUAGAGAUCGCAGUGAAAGGAGGGAUCGAGGUCGAGAUAGGGAUGAUGAUGAUUAUCACCGAAGCCGAGACUAUGACAGCAGGCGGAGAGACUAUGAUAGGGACAAAGAAGACAGACAUAGACGUCGGUCACGAUCUCGUUCGAAGGGUAGAUCUGAGCACAGAUCGAGGUCGCGUUCUAAGAGCAAAAGGAUCAGUGGUUUUGAUAUGGCUCCUCCUGCUUCUGCAAUGUUGCCUAGUGCUGCUGCUGCUGCUGCUGUUGCUGCUGCAGUGUGGAAAAUCCGUAUCAAAUUACAUGGUAUCAUUUGGUCAGAUUACUGGGACAGCUCCUCCCAUUCCUGGAAUGUUUCCCAACAUGUUUCCAUUAGGGACUGGCCAGCAGUUUGGUGCUCUCCCUGUUAUGCCAGUUCAGGCAAUGACUCAACAGGCUACCAGGCAUGCACGGAGGGUCUAUGUUGGCGGGCUUCCACCUAUAGCUAAUGAACAGUCUGUGGCUACCUUUUUUAGCCAGGUUAUGGCUGCCAUUGGAGGGAACACUGCAGGCCCAGGGGAUGCUGUUGUUAAUGUUUAUAUAAACCAUGAAAAGAAGUUUGCAUUUGUGGAGAUGAGAUCUGUUGAGGAGGCCAGUAAUGCAAUGGCUUUGGAUGGGAUUAUUUUCGAGGGAGCACCUGUUAAGGUUAGGAGACCGAGUGACUAUAACCCGUCUCUGGCCGCAACACUUGGUCCAAGCCAGCCCAAUCCCAAUCUUAAUCUGGCAGCAGUUGGCCUUACUCCUGGUUCUGCUGGUGGACUCGAGGGUCCAGACCGCAUUUUUGUGGGUGGACUCCCUUAUUACUUCACAGAAGCACAGAUCAGGGAGUUGUUGGAGUCUUUUGGAGCUCUCCGUGGUUUUGAUCUUGUAAAAGACAGAGAGACUGGGAACUCAAAAGGCUAUGCAUUUUGUGUUUACCAAGAUCUUUCAGUGACAGACAUAGCCUGUGCUGCUCUGAAUGGAAUUAAAAUGGGUGAUAAAACUCUCACUGUUCGACGUGCCAACCAGGGCACCAACCAGCCAAAACCAGAGCAAGAGAAUGUACUAUUGCAUGCUCAGCAGCAGAUUGCAUUGCAGAGGCUUAUGUUGCAGCCACCACCUGUAGUCACGAAAGUUGUAUGCCUAACUCAAGUAGUUACUGUGGAUGAGCUCAAAGAUGAUGAUGAGUAUGAAGACAUUUUGGAAGACAUUAGAAUGGAAGCUGGGAAAUUUGCCAUUUCUAGUCCCACAUUCUGCUAUAAAGAAUCAAGCUUAACAUACACAGACAGAAGACUUCAUAAUCCCUUAUUUAUAUUUACUUGAGAUUGGUUUCCAUUUUUCAAUAAAAAAUAGUUGUUUUGAAAAUUUUGGAUUGCAUAUUUUCACACGUUAUAUGCAGGUCAACUGGUGAAUGUUGUGAUCCCACGCCCAAGACCAGAUGGUGAAAAUGCACCAGGAGUUGGGAAGGUGUUCUUGGAAUAUGCAGACACUGAAGGUUCUUCAAAAGCACGAGCAGGGAUGAACGGGAGGAAAUUUGGCGGAAAUCAUGUUGUGGCUGUCUUUUUUCCAGAGAACAAGUUCUCCCAGGGAGAAUAUGAUGAAUGACUAAUUAGUUGUGUAGAGGCUGCUUCCUUCCACCACUUGGGUUUUGGAUCCUGUGAUACCCUGUUAUUAUUAGUGGUUAUGUUUUAAAUGAUAGCUUAGAAGUCUACAACCUCUUGCCUUUGGCUGUUUGAUUGAAUGCCUCCCUGUUGAAGUCUGUGAACAGAUGACCGUUAAACAUUGAACUAGUUGAGAUGAAUUUCUAUGAUAUUCGACUACUUGCAUC